GUACCCCACUCGUCGUGAAAGACGAGCGAAAACCAUGGCGGCGAUCGCGCACUCCAUCGGUGGCCCCGAGAGCGCACAAGCGCGAUCAGCGCUGACAGAGGACGGUGGCGCCGGUCGGGAGCCACGUCUUCCGUGGUGGUCAGGAUCUUAAGCAAGCCGUCACCGCCGCCGCUGCCGAGGACCUCAACAGAAGUUUGUCGACGCCGCAGACUCUUCUUUCCAGACCAUGGUUGAUUGAAGGUGUGAUUUCUGCCUCGACAAUCGUUUGACAUCUCUAAUUUAAUCUCUGCAAAACAAGGAUUCAAAUGGGUUAUAAGAAUUGGGGUACCACUGUGUUGAAUUUGAAUUUUAGGUUUAUCGAGUUGAUUGUCCCGAGGAUGGGACGUCAGGAUUCUUAGCUAUCUUAGAUGAUAAGCGCAUUUGAUUGCUAGAGACUGAUAGGUAUACUAUUAAUUUAGGCCUAACUCUUUUGUCGUCGCAUGGAAUGAAUGUGUCGUGAAGUUUUUCUGGUUCAAAAGCAAGUGUUUUUUGUCUCAUUCUAUUUGUAUUUCGUGUUCCUCAUCAUGAUAUUGCUGUUGAGAACAUAGAGUUGCAUGUCUGUAUGUUGAUGGAAUGGAGAACAAUCUGUAUGAAGUUUUUCUGGUUCAAAAGUAAGUUUUUUUAUCUCAUUCUAUUUGUAUUUGGUGUUCCUCAUUAUGAUAUUACUGUUGAGAACAUAGAGUUGCAUGUCUGUAUGCUGAUGGAAUGGAGAACAAUCUGUAUGAAGCUUUUUCUGGUUCAAAAGUAAGCUUUUUUAUCUCAUUCUAUUUGUAUUUGGCGUUCCUCAUUAUGAUAUUACUGUUGAGAACAUAAGAGUUGCAUGUCUGUAUGUUGAUGGAAUGGAGAACAAUCUGUAUGAAGCUUUUCUGGUUCAAAAGUAAGCUUUUUUUCCUCAUUCUAUUUGUAUUUGGUGUUCCUCAUUAUGAUAUUACUGUUGAGAACAUAGAGUUGCAUGUCUGUUUGUUGAUUGAAUGGAGAACAAUCUGUACCUAUCUCUCUUUCUACUUCCAUUUGUCUUUACAUUUACAGAGAAUAUCAAUCCGAUCUUACUUUGACUAGUUUGACUUAGAGUUGAAUGCUUAAAAGAAAAUAUAAUUCUUCCAAUAGAUGCCUCUUAAAAGUAGCUUGCAUUGGUUUGGUAUUGUUUGUAUUUCAGCAAGAGCCAAUUUGUAGCUCCUCAUGAAAUCUGAGAUAAGUGCCACUGAUAUAUAAAGUGGAUGAUUGUUUACAUCAAACUUAAUGGCACAAGAAAUGUUCUACAACUAUCGAAUAAAACUUUGUGAUGUGAAAGCUGUACAAAAUUUCUUUUUGAAUUUGAAGUCUCCCUCCACCAUCUUUUUCAUGCUUUAGGUUAUAGCUGAGCAUUAUUCUUGUAGUGAUGACACCAUUUUGUCAUGCUCAUGAUAAUAUUCAUCUUAUUAAGUUGAGGUUUGGCUGCAUGCACUAUCUACUCUGUUUGCUUGUUCUGUAUUGAUAAUUUGUGUUUCCUGUUUACAUGUAUUAAACUCUAUUAUCAUCUUUCACAAUUGUCACUGGAGAUAACUUUCAUAAUUGAAGUAAUAUAUGACCCAAAACUGUUGGUGCUGAGAUGAGUAGAUAAACAUGGCAAGUUUAUGGUGGCAACCAUGAGGACCAUUACCUUACCUAGCAGAAGUUAGAAGAAUCUACUGGAUCCUUCAACUUUGCACAAUGAUUAAAUAUGAUUACCUCACUCCUACCUGAAUGUGCCCACAUUUGUGUCUGCAG
rnacentral:lncRNA from 1 species